rnacentral:lncRNA from 1 species
CCUUCAGAAGCACAAAUGUAAGCAGCAUGAGGUAUUUUGAAGUGUGAGACAUUUAAGUUUCAGGAACACAGUAUCCCUGUGCAGAGAGAAAAGAGUAAUUACUCAGAUGCCAACUCACAACUGGGAAAACGAGGUGGCCAAAGGAAACUUCACAAUGGAAAUCUUGUGUUUCUGGUGCACAUGUUCAGUCAGAGACACGAAAUUUUAAAGAAUCUUUGUCUAUAGGAAUGAUGCCAGCUCCUCUCUCCUGCACAUCCUCUCUGUGGAUUAAUCAUCAGGCCCCCGGUAACCGCAGUGUGACCACUAUGUGAGGCGCCUUCUUCCCUGAAACAAUGAAGGUCUGUCCGAUUGUCUUUGGGAGGCAUUUACAGCUCGAGGACAUUGCUCUGUUUUAUUGAAAGUACUCAGCACUGGCUUCUUGGGACAUGGCUGGAAGGGGUAUUGAGCUGGAUUGGGCAAUAACAGAUGUUCCAGUGGGACACUGAGACAUUCUUGCUGUGUGGGACACCCAGCAGGAACACGUUGUAAAAAAUGAGGAAGGCAAGAGUACGUUUCACAAAGCCCUGUACAAGUGCUCUGACCCAUGGCUCUGAUAAAGUUGUGUGUCCUGAUCUCAAGUCCUUAGAGGGGUCUACCCCACAUGAAGAUUACUUGAAGGAGAGGAACACAAUUGCUGGAGCCUCAGCUCUUUGUCUCAAUAACUGAUGGGAUGAGAUAGUUUCUAUUCAUCUGGCUGGAUAGAGCUCUGGAAUGCGGUAGCUCUGCCUGAGGGGCCGCUGUGGAGUGUACAGAGCAACACUGUCAUUCCCAGAAGAACGUGGCAGCCGCCUUACACAGUAGGCUGGACCGCCUCCACCCCCAUGUCUACAGGCAGCAACCAAGAGUCCUUAAAAUAAUAAACAGCUGGCUGUGGGCUCCCUACACAAACCCCAGAAUUCCAAUACAAUUCUACUUGACUGAACAGGUUUUAGACCACAGCACAGGAAACUCAGAGUCCAGAAAACUCCCACCUUCACCCGCUGUGGCUGGGCAUCCGUUGGAAUGAUUGUCCCGAAGCUUUGUGUCUGGGAGAGCACCUCCUACGAAGCAGCCAAGUGCAGGGGGAUUCAAAGGGUUUAAUCAGGAAUCAGAACCUCUCUGAGUAGCAUGGAAUCAAGAAUUUAUGAUAGGAAUAAGUCUUUAUGUAAUUACGGAAGAACCUGGGGAAGGAAGGAUCUGGCAGGAGGAAAAAAAGAGCAGAAAAAAGCCACUAACCAGAAGCCACUAACCACUAACUUGCCAGAAGCACCAGCUUGGGUAGAGAAGUUGCAGCUUGCAAGGAAAUCUGGAAAGCCAGAACAUCAAGCUGCCAGAGUGCAGCUGUGAAGGGGAGCUGACGGAAAAGUGUAUGGAAACUUAAAUCCUCUGCUUAACCACCUUUUCUAUAAUUCUACCACCAAGCUUCUGGUGAUGGGCCUGGAGAGGCUACUGGUCAGCAGGGCCAGCAGUCAGGAAAACUGGAUGGAUGGGGGUGGGCAGAAGGUGAGAUCAAGCUGGAACCCUCUAGCGCCUCUGCAUCUGUCUUCCCUUCCAUGUAAGCACAGUGACCUUCAGAGAGUAACGGCUCAGAUCUGCCUUGCAAAUAUCAAGCGAAUUCCUUUUGUACCCUACUCUAACCUGGAAACAGAGAGAAGGUGAUGCUGCGGAACCGUUCUCCAGUAACCAAGUAAACACAGCCACAAC